rnacentral:rRNA from 1 species
UACAGAGGUGGCAAGCGUUGUCCGGAAUCAUUGGGCGUAAAGAGCGCGUAGGCGGCCAGAUAAGUCCGGUGUAAAAGUCAAAGGCUCAACCUUUGAAUGCCGCUGGAAACUGUCUGGCUAGAGUCCGGGAGGGGCGAGUGGAAUUCCUGGUGUAGCGGUGAAAUGCGCAGAUAUCAGGAGGAACACCAAUGGCGAAGGCAGCUCGCUGGAACGGUACUGACGCUGAGGCGCGAAAGCGUGGGGAGCAAACAGG